rnacentral:rRNA from 1 species
AGGGAAUCUUGGACAAUGGGCGAAAGCCUGAUCCAGCCAUGCCGCGUGAGUGAUGAAGGCCUUAGGGCUGUAAAGCUCUUUCGCCAGGGAAGAUAAUGACGGUACCUGGAUAAGAAGCCACGGCUAACUUCGUGCCAGCAGCCGCGGUAAUACGAAGGGGGCUAGCGCUGUUCGGAAUUACUGGGCGUAAAGCGCACGUAGGCGGCUUUCCAAGUUGGAGGUGAAAUCCCCGGGCUUAACCCGGGAACUGCCUCCAAAACUGAAAGGCUAGAGUCCGAGAGUGGUGAGUGGAAUUUCCAGUGUAGAGGUGAAAUUCGUAGAUAUUGGAAAGAACACCAGUGGCGAAGGCGGCUCACUGGCUCGGUACUGACGCUGAGGUGCGACAGCGUGGGGAGCAAACA